rnacentral:lncRNA from 1 species
GUUGAUAAGAUACUUGUUGACUUAACGUAUUAUUGAAAUUAAACCAACAAACCCUUUUCAGACAGUUUUGUUUCUUUUAAAUUUUUAUUCAAGGACAAUGAAUGCAUAAUUUAAUAGAUUUCAUCUUUCAGUAUUACUUGAAAUUGCUAGACCAUUAUCCAAUUACCUUUAAUCACUUAAAAGUACAUCAGUGGAUUAUCUUUUAUCCUUUUUAUUUAUUCAUUAGUAUACAAAGGAAUACUUAUUUUUUUUAUUUGUGUUUAUGUGUUGAUGUCUCUUGUUACUUUUCAAUGAAGAUAUGACUGACUUUAAAAUAAUCAGAAAUUUGGACUUUAUGGUUCAAUUUUCGUUUUUAAUAGUUUCUAUCCAGGAUAUACAAAACUUCCUUCUUUUAUAGUCUACAUAUUCUGCUAAAGUGCAAGAUACCUGUAUUUUAAAAUUAAGAAGAUAAACAGAUAUUAGAUUUAAAGAUUAAAUAGAAUGAAACGAUUAAAAAAAACUUAUUCAUACAGAGAUUUUGGGAAAGAUACAUGUACAUACAAAAGUAAGCCUCAAGCUGUUGACGGAUUUAAAGUUAUUCAUUAUAAAGAAUCAGGUUGAAAUGUUUAGAAUAGGAUUAAAAUUAUUUUAAAUUUUGACUGGUUUAUUAAUAUAUUUAUAAUUACACAAUAUGUAACAAAUAGCAGCUGAAUUUUCACAUGUGCUUGGUACAAUUAACUAUUUAGAAAUAAAGAAAAAGAGUUAAGGAUGAGACUACUUUUAAAGUAACAGUAAAGACGGAGAAAACAUUUAUAACUUUUGAAAAUUUUAAAUGGAGCAUGUUUUUUUUUCCCUAUGCCUUCUCAUCUCAGAAGUCAUGUCUGGUACUUGCAAAGACUAUACUUUCAUUUUACUGAAUUACAACAAAUUCAUUUGUUUAUGGAUAUUAAAAAUUAAAUGAUACCUUUUUAAUAGAUUAGUUUAUCUCAUUUUGUAACAUCUGGACAAUUUAUAAUAUAAAGUUAAUUAUAGCUUCAGUUGUUUUGUAUAAUAAAUAUUUAAAAUAUGUCUAUCGUUUCUUGCUUUUCUUGUCCAUUGUCCAAAACC